ensembl:lncRNA
GUUGAAGCAACACUUGCACGAGUCCACCACAAGCGCUUCACCUCUGAGUGAGAGCGGGGGGGCGGGGCUUAGGCGGCCCGCUGGCAGGCUGCAGCCGGGAUGCAAAUAUCACUUCUCUGCAACUGUUUCUGCCACUUCGGAUGCGGCAGGACGCCGCUACGUGGACUUUAAGCUGCGCAAUUCGCAGGGGAAUCUUUAGUGCAAACAGCCCGACUGAGAACGUGCGUGACUCAAGUUCAUCGGAGUAAGAUGCGCGUUUUUUUAAUGCGCAUAAUCGUUUACUGGCGGACUUUUAAUCCGUUGCGCAUUUUCUUUCUUUCUGCGCAUCUACUUGAGACGCUGCCAGGGAGUCGCCUCGAAAUUGAGACAGAUGCGAGAGAAAUGAAAGCAUGUGUCUUUUUAAAUGGUGACAGGGAAAAGUUGCAUGGGGGCAUCGCGGAGGAGGAGUUCUUUGCGACCAAACGAGUAACGGAUUUUCUCUUAUAAAUAAGGAAAUUGAGUCCCGACCGCUCAAUGAACAGCAGUAAUCCUCGUUGUGCAGGUGGGUCAAUUCACAUUUUACAAUUCUAUUAACCGAGUUAAAGCUUUGGUUCGCAAUUUCUUAUGAAUAAAUGAAUAUCCUAACUCGAGGGUAUUUCUGGAAAGAUCUUGAAAUGUGUUUGUGUUACUUCAUUGUACCCGAAACAUUUUGACGUGAUGAUCAAGAAUUAUUAUUAUUAUGACGAUUGUAAUUAUUGAGUAUAUUCCGUUUAAAAACCUGAUUUAUUUAAUGUUGCCCGGUACAUCAUUUAAAUGUGAGAUUACGUUCCUCAUGUGUGGCUGACCUUUCCCUAAAAUAUAUUUAUUACCCCAAAUUCUGCCCAAAAAUGCGUAUUUAUACCGAUUGAGAUUUCCUUCCCCUGACUAAUCUGAAUUUAAGAGUGGGACAUAUUCAGUCUUCUUUUCUUUAGGAAAACAUUCGACACACCACACUUUAUCUCCUAGUCAUCCUCUUGCGAUUCGUGCUGGCCUCCCCAGCUCCUAAGUGAGACGGGCAGGACAGUGAGGCGGAGACGUUGGACGGGGGGGGGGGGGGAGAGGAUCUGCGCAGGAUUCCUCCUUCUUCCAGAGGAGCAGUGCGAUGCAAACAUCUGUAAUCCAGCAUGGAGCCUCAGAGGCAAAGCCAGGCUCAACUGAGCUGUACAGGAUCAACCCCCCCGGAGCUGAGUGGGCUCAAGCCUCACAUGGAAACCCAAAGAGAGAGGGAAGGAGGGAGGGAGGGAGAGAGAGAGAGAGGGAGGGAGCCUGUUGGUAGUUUGAUUGGAGGCGAAGAGCACGAUGGUGAUGUUCUUCUCUGCGUGAGAGCGCUGAGUGUUUUCUCAAGCGCUGCACGUUUGACCCCUCGCUGCCCGAAAACCCUCCGAGCCGCCGAGCCGAGGAACUGGAAGCGAUUACCAAAAUGGCCGAGGCUUCUGUUCUGGUGCCAGUGGCGCAGCCAGGUGUUUCUCAACAGACAGCCGAGGCAGGCGGGCCUUUAAGAUUUACAUUGAAACGUGUCGAGAGCAGACUCCUUCGUUUCACUCAAAGGCCUAGUGGCCUUUUCUGUUCCGCGUCGUUUCUUUCGUCUCGUUUUUCUCUUUCUCAGCGGGAGAGUUUUGGGACUUGAACAUGAAAAUCAUGGAUUAUGUCAACGUGGGUGAAAUCACCCUUGAAUUCCCACAGCCGAGUCUGGGUCCCACGUGAUGGGAUACAAAAAAUCAGCUGUUUUAAAAGCCAGAAAUUACAGCUGUCUUUACUCGAUUGUAACUCUAAAGAAAGAAAAAACUAUUUGAAAGCAGCAUUGAUAAUUCUAAAUGAAAUCCUUUCCCCGUCCUUGUUGCGUUUUGCUCAAGCAGGUGGGACUGUCCUUCCUGUCUGCGUGGGAUUAAGAUUAAGGGGUCGCACCACAGGUUUCACGUGUUGGUGAUCUUUGCACAGUUUCACAAAUGUGUGCGUCGAAAGGGAAACCGGUUCAGUUAAAAGUCACAACGUUUGUUGUCUUCUCCAGUUCGAUAACUACCCAGUGGGAGUGGGAGCUCCCUUUCACUGCCUGAAUAAUUGAUAGAUCAAACUUAGGUCUUACGAAGGAGGCAAUUUAAUCUCCUGACUACUUGAUGAGCGGGGGGCCUCAGCUUCACCGGGCUCAGCUGGACAGGCAGUUUGGCGGCAGUGGGCCCGGAGACGGAUGGGCACAGGGGGCACCCCGACCAUCAGCCCCCUAAGCCACCUCUCGGUCGGACCCCCGACAUCUUCACUGGGAGCAGAUCUGGACGCGCUGAUGUUCCAAGCACAUGUGAUCACCCACAGUCAAGAACCUGCAACCAUCCGUCCCAUUCCGACCUGCAGGCCCGAAGCCCUCCCCAGAGCAGGAAGCCCCCCCCCGCUGAGAGGAAAGCGUCUCCCGACCUUCAUGGCUUGAACCCGCGAGAAGUCCACCCGUCUCCUCCGCGGCCUUUUUCCUCCUCUCCUUCCUCCGUGCGACCCAGCUACCCCCCCCCUCCCCCUGCCCCUCCUCCGUCUACUCCCUUUGCCAGUAUCACACCCCC